rnacentral:rRNA from 1 species
AGCAACAAAUGCCCUGCUUCCAGGAAAAGCCUCUAAGCAUCAGGUAACAUCAAAUCGUACCCCAAACCGACACAGGUGGUCAGGUAGAGAAUACCAAGGCGCUUGAGAGAACUCGGGUGAAGGAACUAGGCAAAAUGGUGCCGUAACUUCGGGAGAAGGCACGCUGACACGUAGGUGAAGUGAUUUACUCAUGGAGCUGAAGUCAGUCGAAGAUACCAGCUGGCUGCAACUGUUUAUUAAAAACACAGCACUGUGCAAACACGAAAGUGGACGUAUACGGUGUGACGCCUGCCCGGUGCCGGAAGGUUAAUUGAUGGGGUCAGCGCAAGCGAAGCUCCUGAUCGAAGCCCCGGUAAACGGCGGCCGUAACUAUAACGGUCCUAAGGUAGCGAAAUUCCUUGUCGGGUAAGUUCCGACCUGCACGAAUGGCGUAAUGAUGGCCAGGCUGUCUCCACCCGAGACUCAGUGAAAUUGAACUCGCUGUGAAGAUGCAGUGUACCCGCGGCAAGACGGAAAGACCCCGUGAACCUUUACUAUAGCUUGACACUGAACAUUGAGCCUUGAUGUGUAGGAUAGGUGGGAGGCUUUGAAGUGUGGACGCCAGUCUGCAUGGAGCCGACCUUGAAAUACCACCCUUUAAUGUUUGAUGUUCUAACGUGGACCCGUGAUCCGGGUUGCGGACAGUGUCUGGUGGGUAGUUUGACUGGGGCGGUCUCCUCCUAAAGAGUAACGGAGGAGCACGAAGGUUGGCUAAUCCUGGUCGGACAUCAGGAGGUUAGUGCAAUGGCAUAAGCCAGCUUGACUGCGAGCGUGACGGCGCGAGCAGGUGCGAAAGCAGGUCAUAGUGAUCCGGUGGUUCUGAAUGGAAGGGCCAUCGCUCAACGGAUAAAAGGUACUCCGGGGAUAACAGGCUGAUACCGCCCAAGAGUUCAUAUCGACGGCGGUGUUUGGCACCUCGAUGUCGGCUCAUCACAUCCUGGGGCUGAAGUAGGUCCCAAGGGUAUGGCUGUUCGCCAUUUAAAGUGGUACGCGAGCUGGGUUUAGAACGUCGUGAGACAGUUCGGUCCCUAUCUGCCGUGGGCGCUGGAGAACUGAGGGGGGCUGCUCCUAGUACGAGAGGACCGGAGUGGACGCAUCACUGGUGUUCGGGUUGUCAUGCCAAUGGCACUGCCCGGUAGCUAAAUGCGGAAGAGAUAAGUGCUGAAAGCAUCUAAGCACGAAACUUGCCCCGAGAUGAGUUCUCCCUGAGACUUUAAGUCUCCUGAAGGAACGUUGAAGACGACGACGUUGAUAGGCCGGGUGUGUAAGCGCAGCGAUGCGUUGAGCUAACCGGUACUAAUGAACCGUGAGGCUUAACCUUACAACGCCGAAG